AGUGAACGCUGGCGGUAGGCCUAACACAUGCAAGUCGAACGGCAGCACAGUAAGAGCUUGCUCUUACGGGUGGCGAGUGGCGGACGGGUGAGGAAUACAUCGGAAUCUACUUUUUCGUGGGGGAUAACGUAGGGAAACUUACGCUAAUACCGCAUACGACCUACGGGUGAAAGCAGGGGAUCUUCGGACCUUGCGCGAUUGAAUGAGCCGAUGUCGGAUUAGCUAGUUGGCGGGGUAAAGGCCCACCAAGGCGACGAUCCGUAGCUGGUCUGAGAGGGUGACCGGCGACAGUGGGAAUGAGAUACGGCGCAGACUGCGAUGGGAGGGAGCAGUCGGGAAUAUUGCACAAUGGGCGGGAGACUGAUGCAGAAACGCCGCGUGUGGGAUGACGGCCUUAGGGUUGUAAACCGCUGUCGACUGUGACGAAGCGUGAGUGACGGUAACGGGUAAAGAAGAACCGGCUCACUACGUG
rnacentral:rRNA from 1 species